CAGACCUCAAAGGAUGUCGAGGCGGGUUUCGGAUCGGACGGCUGAGAUGUAACUUGAGGGGCGGGAUCAGAUGAAGGACGAGGAGGACCAUGAUGGGAUUCAAUAGGGUCGGAAACUGAUAGGGUAGUGGUAGGGGGAGGAGGAGGGAGGUGUUUAGCGGCGGAUAUUGGUUCGUCGGAGUCCCCAAAGUCGUCGAUUUCAUCGGCGUCGAAACCCUCGAAGUGGCGGCUCUCGGCGGAGACAGGGGAGAGAUGGUGGAUGAGAAGGGAUAGGAUGGAGAAAAGGGCAAUAAGGUAAAAGAGAGUGUCGCCUCUAGGGAGGAUGAAGGAAGAGAGAGGAGAGAGGGAAAAGGAGUGCUUCGCCAUGAGAGAGUUUGGAUUUGAUCUCUCUCACCUUCGCUUCUGAUAAGCAGA
rnacentral:lncRNA from 1 species